GAGAGGGGAGCAGAGGAAGAGAAGGAGGAGGAGGAGGAGGAGGAGGAGGAGAGGAAAUGACUUGCAGUUCCGGAUGGAUAGCCAGCCAGGCAGGCAGUCUGUAUAUAUAAUAGAUUUUCACCCCCUCCCUCCUUACCUCCCCUCCUCCUUCGCCUCCCUCUCCCCUUCAGGC